GGUUUCCGUAGGUGAACCUGCGGAAGGAUCAUUGUCGAAACCUGCCCAGCAGAACGACCCGCGAACGAGUAGUGGGUGCUGCCUCACCCCAAAGCCGGGGGCCCCUGGCACACGAACCCCGGCGCGGAAAGCGCCAAGGAACAUGAACUUUAGUGUGUGCCCCGUGUACGGUCCGCCGGCGCAGGGCUUUGCUGCCACGCAUAAUAUUAACGACUCUCGGCAACGGAUAUCUCGGCUCUCGCAUCGAUGAAGAACGUAGCGAAAUGCGAUACUUGGUGUGAAUUGCAGAAUCCCGUGAACCAUCGAGUCUUUGAACGCAAGUUGCGCCCGAAGCCUUUGGCUGAGGGCACGUCUGCCUGGGCGUCACGCAUCGCGUCUCCCCCACACCCACCUCGGGGGGGGAAGGAUGAUGGUCUCCCGUUCCUCACCGGGCACGGUUGGCCUAAAUGAGGAGCCCACGGCCUGGAUCCGACGCGGCGAUUGGUGGUCGUCGUGUUCGGCCAUGCCCAUGGAGCUCGUUGGACCCUUGAUGUUGCACCGUUGCGACCCUAACCGUUGCGACCCCAGGUCAGGCGGGGCUACCCGCU
rnacentral:rRNA from 1 species